UCUUCCCAUAUCUCCAAACCAAUUUCUUCAAAAAACCCUCAAACUCCUUGAAUUUUAGAUCUAAGAAACUUUAGCCGCCACUUUUUAGUCCAAAUUCUUGAAGCUCCGGACAACACCACCCUACAACACAUACAAGAAUGGAUAGAGCUCCACGAGACCUAUCUUUUCCUACCCAUUUCACCCCCAAAAUCCCCGUCGCCGCCGACCCGCUCCUCGCCGCCGCCACGGCUCCACCGCCUCACCACCGCCAAAAUGCCCCGAACCCCCAUUUUAGCUAUUUUUCGACUCAAAGACACUCGUUUCUUUUGGCGAGAUGCUGAAACGUAUUUCGUUCUAGCAUCUACCCGAAAGAAACAUGCGUUUCGGAGUCGGGUAGUCACCUUUUAGCAUCUCCGGCGACUUCUCGUGGCUCGAACGACUUCAAGCAUACUUGUUAGGUAUAAUCGUCAUCUCUUUAAUUAAUUUCUGAUUUUUUUUAUUUAGUAGAUUAGUUUCUGAUUUUAUUUAUUUAUUUAUUUUUCUGUUUUGGUUAUUUCUUGUUAAUUAGAGUUUCAAGUUAGGUUUAUUUAAUUAGCUACCUCUAUUUAGUUUAGUAGUUUGUUAGAUUCGUUAUUGAUUUAAACAUGAUCUUUAGUGUAUUAGUUAAAUCGUUCCCUUAGUUAGUCGAUUAUUUAGUUGUUGUUAGUCGUUGUUCGAUUGUUAACGAUGCUCGUUCUGUUUUGAGCAUUAGUUUGUGAAUUUAGUUGUUUGUUUAGUAAUUAGUUUGCACAAAUCGAAUUCAUUCCCAUCAAGUUGGUUUUAAUACUUAGUUCAAUUACGUUUUUAGUCUCGUCUAUGCUUUGUCAGUUCAUAGUUGUCCAAGUUUGAUUUGUGUUGAGCAAGUAGUUUGUUGUUGAUGGUUAAAAUCUGAAAUUUAGUUUAUUUUAUCACAAAAUAGGGUAAUAGUAGCUUACUUUUACUAGUAGGGUGGCUGAAAGGACAUUUUUUCUCCUUGCUUCUGACACAACAGAUUUUCAGGUUGUCCUUUCACCUUUGGGACAGACCUUGAACAGUGUUUAGCACAUAAAGUCAGUCUUUUGGACAGAUUUUUGGUGAACCAAAAUCUGUCCAAAAAAUCUAACUUUAUUUGCCUAUUGAAAGGGUUGUUUUUCUCCUAUAAAAGGGACUCACUUACACUUAGAAUGCAGAGGCCUACUCACUGAAAAGGGGGACACUCUAUCUUAUACUGAGACACAUCUUGGAGAGUUGCUUAAAGAUAUAUAUCUUUGAGAAAAAUCAGCAGCUUAAUACAUAUAACAAGGUGAAAUUUCAGAGUUUUUUGAGGAUUAUUUGAGUGCAAAAACCUCGAGAAAAAUAGAAAGAUCCCUUAGGCAAUUUGUGAAGUUGAUAUCUACAAGUUUCAAGCAUCUUUGUUGAGUUUUCUGGGUUGUCUUAACACUUGAGUUGCUGCUGUUUCUACUGUAUUUGCUGCUGAGUUUUUUUUUUUGGUUACUGCACUGCUGUAUUUUAUUAUUCCACAAACCAGGUAACUUUUAAAUUCUUAUAUUGCAGAUUCUUGAUGAUAAUAAGAAGGAUUUGAUCCCAGUUUGGUUGAUGGAACAUAUUAGAUCUGAUUUUGUUUCAAGAUGAAUGUUAUAUUAGUGUUAUUAUCAUGUAAAUCUGUUAAAAAUUAGUUAAAUUAUGAUUUUCUUCUUUAUAUAUGUGAUUGAAAUUGCAUUCUGUUAAGAUUACUUAGUUUAAGAAAAAGAUAAAGACCCCACUUUUAACCAUGUUUGUUUAGUUUGGGC
rnacentral:lncRNA from 1 species